UGCUCUUUGUGUAGUAUUUUAAAAUGAAGAGUCGGACCUGCCCGGUGACUUAUAGUUAAACGGCCGCGGUACUCUGACCGUGCAAAGGUAGCAUAAUCACUUGCCUUUUAAUUGGAGGCUUGUAUGAAUGGUUUGACGAGAGCUAAGCUGUCUCCUUAGAAAUAUUUAAAAAUUAACUUUUAGGUGAAGAGGCCUAAAUUUGUUUAAGGGACAAGAAGACCCUAUUGAGCUUUAGUGACACUAAUGAAUUAUUGUGUAGUAUUUACUGAAAUUGCAUUUAUUUGUGUAAAUUAAUUUCGUUACUAAUCUUUAGUUGGGGCGACUGAGGAACUGAUUGAGCUUCCUCGAAUUAUUGUUUGUAGUUAGACAGACUAGUUAUGAGGAUCCAGCGUAAUUAAUGCUGAUUAAGGGAAAAAGUUACCAUAGGGAUAACAGCGUAAUCUUUCUGGAGAGUUCUUAUCGAAAGAAGGGUUUGCGACCUCGAUGUUGGACUAAGGUAUCCCGGAGGUGUAGAAGCUUCCGAUGGUUGGUCUGUUCGACCAUUAAAACCUU
rnacentral:rRNA from 1 species